CCUACGGGUGGCAGCAGUGAGGAAUAUUGGGCAAUGGGCGAGAGCCUGAACCAGCCAAGUCGCGUGAGGGAUGAAGGUUCUAUGGAUCGUAAACCUCUGUUAUAAGGGAAUAAAGUGAGGGACGUGUCCGAUUUUGUAUGUACCUUAUGAAUAAGGAUCGGCUAACUCCGUGCCAGCAGCCGCGGUAAUACGGAGGAUGCGAGCGUUAUCCGGAUUUAUUGGGUUUAAAGGGUGCGUAGGCGGCCUUUUAAGUCAGCGGGGAAAGUCUGUGGCUCAACCAUAGAAUUGCCGUUGAAACUGGUGGGCUUGCGUAUGUUUGAGGCAGGCGGACUGCGUGGUGUAGCGGU
rnacentral:rRNA from 1 species